CUUGGUGGUAACAGCGGAGGGGGUCACCUGUUCCCAUACCGAACACAGAAGUUAAGCCCUCCAGCGGCGAUGGUACUGCCACAUCUCGUGGUGGGAGAGCAGCUCACUGCCAAGA
rnacentral:rRNA from 1 species